rnacentral:rRNA from 1 species
AGUGCACUUUGUGAUUCAUGACUGGGGUGAAGUCGUAACAAGGUAACCGUAGGGGAACCUGCGGUUGGAUCACCUCCUUA